rnacentral:rRNA from 1 species
GACGAACGCUGGCGGCGUGCCUAAUACAUGCAAGUCGAGCGAACUUUUGGGAGCUUGCUGCCAUACGUUAGUGGCGAACGGGUGAGUAACACGUGGGUAACCUGCCUGUAAGACUGGGAUAACUUCGGGAAACCGGAGCUAAUACCGGAUAAGAUUGAAGGCUGCAUGGCCUUCAAUUAAAAGGUGCAUUUUAGCUACCACUUACAGAUGGACCCGCGGCGCAUGAGCUAGUUGGUGGGGUAACGGCUCACCAAGGCGACGAUGCGUAGCCGACCUGAGAGGGUGAUCGGCCACACUGGGACUGAGACACGGCACAGACGCCUACGGGAGGCAGCAGUAGGGAAUCUUCCGCAAUGGACGGAAGUCUGACCGAGCAACGCCGCGUGAGCGAAGAAGGUCUUCGGGUCGUAAAGCUCUGUUGUUAGGGAAGAACGAGUAUCGGUCUGAAAGGGUGAUACCGUGACGGUACCUAACCAGAAAGCCACGGCUAACUACGUG